rnacentral:rRNA from 1 species
UGCAAGUCGAACGGUCUACCCUGACAGAAACCUUCGGGUUGAAGACAGGACUAGAUAGUGGCGGACGGGUGAGUAACACGUGAAUAAUCUGUCCUCAAGUCUGGGAUAACCUGGCGAAAGUCGGGCUAACCCCGGAUAAGCUGAGAGUGUGGCAUCACACAAUCAGAAAAGGUGCCUUUUGGCAUCGUUUGAGGAGGAGUUCGCGGUAGAUUAGCCAGCUGGUAAGGUAAAGGCUUACCAGGGCAACAAUCUAUAGCUGGUCUGAGAGGACGAUCAGCCACACUGGAACUGAGACACGGUCCAGACUCCUACGGGAGGCAGCAGUGGGGAAUCUUCCACAAUGGGCGCAAGCCUGAUGGAGCAACGCCGCGUGAGUGAAGACGGUCUUCGGAUUGUAAAGCUCUGUCCUUAGGGAAGAACCGUGGGUAUAGCAAAUGAUACCCAUCUGACGGUACCUUUGGAGGAAGCACUGGCUAACUACGUGCCAGCAGCCGCGGUAAUACGUAGAGUGCAAGCGUUGUCCGGAAUUAUUGGGCGUAAAGGGUACGCAGGCGGAUAAUCAAGUCAAGCGUG